AUUGAACGCUGGCGGCAGGCCUAACACAUGCAAGUCGAGCGGAUGAAGGGAGCUUGCUCCUGGAUUCAGCGGCGGACGGGUGAGUAAUGCCUAGGAAUCUGCCUGGUAGUGGGGGAUAACGUCCGGAAACGGGCGCUAAUACCGCAUACGUCCUGAGGGAGAAAGUGGGAGAUCUUCGGACCUCACGCUAUCAGAUGAGCCUAGGUCGGAUUAGCUAGUUGGUGGGGUAAAGGCCUACCAAGGCGACGAUCCGUAACUGGUCUGAGAGGAUGAUCAGUCACACUGGAACUGAGACACGGUCCAGACUCCUACGGGAGGCAGCAGUGGGGAAUAUUGGACAAUGGGCGAAAGCCUGAUCCAGCCAUGCCGCGUGUGUGGAGAAGGUCUUCGGAUUGUAAAGCACUUUAAGUUGGGAGGAAGGGCAGUAAGUUAAUACCUUGCUGUUUUGACGUUACCAACAGAAUAAGCACCGGCUAACUUCGUG
rnacentral:rRNA from 1 species